UACAUGCAGUCGAGCGGACUUGAAGAGAAGCUUGCUUCUCUGAUGGUUAGCGGCGGACGGGUGAGUAACACGUAGGCAACCUGCCCUCAAGUUUGGGACAACUACCGGAAACGGUAGCUAAUACCGAAUAGUUGUUUUCUUCGCCUGAAGAGAACUGGAAAGACGGAGCAAUCUGUCACUUGGGGAUGGGCCUGCGGCGCAUUAGCUAGUUGGUGAGGUAACGGCUCACCAAGGCGACGAUGCGUAGCCGACCUGAGAGGGUGAUCGGCCACACUGGGACUGAGACACGGCCCAGACUCCUACGGGAGGCAGCAGUAGGGAAUCUUCCGCAAUGGGCGAAAGCCUGACGGAGCAAUGCCGCGUGAGUGAUGAAGGUUUUCGGAUCGUAAAGCUCUGUUGCCAGGGAAGAACGCUUGGGAGAGUAACUGCUCUCAAGGUGACGGUACCUGAGAAGAAAGCCCCGGCUAACUACGUGCCAGCAGCCGCGGUAAUACGUAGGGGGCAAGCGUUGUCCGGAAUUAUUGGGCGUAAAGCGCGCGCAGGCGGUCAUUUAAGUCUGGUGUUUAAUCCCGGGGCUCAACCCCGGAUCGCACUGGAAACUGGGUGACUUGAGUGCAGAAGAGGAGAGUGGAAUUCCACGUGUAGCGGUGAAAUGCGUAGAUAUGUGGAGGAACACCAGUGGCGAAGGCGACUCUCUGGGCUGUAACUGACGCUGAGGCGCGAAAGCGUGAGGAGCAAACAGGAUUAGAUACCCUGGUAGUCCACGCCGUAAACGAUGAGUGCUAGGUGUUAGGGGUUUCGAUACCCUUGGUGCCGAAGUUAACACAUUAAGCACUCCGCCUGGGGAGUACGGUCGCAAGACUGAAACUC
rnacentral:rRNA from 1 species